ACCCUCCCAUCAUGCCCGCUGAUCGUGAUCAGCAGCAUGCCCAGGCAGCCCCGAUCCUGAAGGCUGCGGCGCGGUUCCGACCGCGUUGAUCAUCCCGGUUCGCACCGGCAUCCAUGCGCGAACGGCCGUCAUUCAUGACGGUGAUGC
rfam:Acidomonas methanolica NBRC 104435 DNA, contig: Amme_059.